UACGUAGGGGGCAAGCGUUGUCCGGAAUCAUUGGGCGUAAAGAGCGCGUAGGCGGCCCCAGUAAGUCCGCUCUGAAAGUCAGGGGCUCAACCCCUGAAUGUCGAUGGAUACUGCCGGGCUAGAGUCCGGAAGAGGCGAGUGGAAUUCCUGGUGUAGCGGUGGAAUGCGCAGAUAUCAGGGGGAACACCAAUAGCGAAGGCAGCUCGCUGGGACGGUACUGACGCUAAGGCGCGAAAGCGUGGGGAGCGAACAGG
rnacentral:rRNA from 1 species